CUCAUAACUUCUCCUCUGAGAGUGAGCUCCUCUCCCUCACCAUCACAGGUUUGUCAUCCCAGUGACCGGCAGGCCACCCUCCAUCCCCUCGAAUCCCAGGGCCCCCGAGAGACCGGGACCCAUCCUU